GCCUUCGUGGUGUAGUGGUCAGUACGAUCGGCGUGUAUUUGAGAGGUCCGGGUUCGAGUCCCGGCGAAGGCG
rnacentral:tRNA from 1 species